rnacentral:rRNA from 1 species
CAAUAGCGUAUAUUUAAGUUGCUGCAGUUAAAAAGCUCGUAGUUGGAUUUCGGGUGGGAAUGGCCGGUCCGCCGUUUCGGUGUGCACUUGCUACGCCCACCUUGCUGCCGGGGACGUGCUCUUGUGUUCACGCUCGGGACACGGAGUCGGCGAGGUUACUUUGAGUAAAUUAGAGUGUUCAAAGCAGGCCUACGCUCUGAAUACAUUAGCAUGGAAUAACACGAUAGGACUCUGGCCUAUCUUGUUGGUCUGUAGGACCGGAGUAAUGAUUAAGAGGGACAGUCGGGGGCAUUCGUAUUUCAUUGUCAGAGGUGAAAUUCUUGGAUUUAUGAAAGACGAACUACUGCGAAAGCAUUUGCCAAGGAUGUUUUCAUUAA